rnacentral:rRNA from 1 species
GAUGAACGCUGGCGGCGUGCCUAAUACAUGCGAGUCGAGCGAACAGACGAGGAGCUUGCUCCUCUGACGUUAGCGGCGGACGGGUGAGUAACACGUGGAUAACCUACCUAUAAGACUGGGAUAACUUCGGGAAACCGGAGCUAAUACCGGAUAAUAUAUUGAACCGCAUGGUUCAAUAGUGAAAGACGGUUUUGCUGUCACUUAUAGAUGGAUCCGCGCCGCAUUAGCUAGUUGGUAAGGUAACGGCUUACCAAGGCAACGAUGCGUAGCCGACCUGAGAGGGUGAUCGGCCACACUGGAACUGAGACACGGUCCAGACUCCUACGGGAGGCAGCAGUAGGGAAUCUUCCGCAAUGGGCGAAAGCCUGACGGAGCAACGCCGCGUGAGUGAUGAAGGUCUUCGGAUCGUAAAACUCUGUUAUUAGGGAAGAACAAAUGUGUAAGUAACUAUGCACGUCUUGACGGUCCCUAAUCAGAAAGCCACGGCUAACUACGUG